rnacentral:lncRNA from 1 species
GAAGUUAAUGAGCAGAAUGUUACCAAGACCCAAGGACAACUAGCAAGUCUGGAAAAUUGCCACCGAGAAAUAAUCUUCAGUCCUUGCAUUGCCAAGGCAAAGCUUUAAUUAUUUAACUGCUUAUUAUUCAAAAACAAAACUAAGUUCCAAAACUAAUGGAAAAUUUUGCCCACGUUGAUAUAUUCUUUAAUUUAUCUUCAGGUUUUAUUUACUUCCGUCAGCCCCACCUCUUUUCUGUAGGCCCAUUUAAAAAUUUUUAAAUACAUUAAGCUCUAUGUAAGAAUUCCUUAUUUGGGGAAAUAGAGAAUAUCUUUAUUUCUGAUUAGAGGCAAGGCCUUAAUAAUAUAUUAUCUCCUAAUCAUUCAAAUGUAUUCCCAUUGAUUUCAGACGUGCACCCACCCUUCAGUCAGGUUGGUCACUGCCCCAUGAGUAUCCACAUUUGUUUCUGUGCUUGAUGAUUUCUGUACUUUAAAUGCCAUCUCCUGCCCAUCCUUCAGAAAUUAAAUAUAGUCCCAUCUCUUUCAGAAAGACUUUCUAAAUGACAGUCUGUUCUCAAUUUAGCAUUUAAUUUUAUUCCAUCUUGCAGAUUGUAUUUGUUUCAUGUACAAGUUUUCCAUUCCUUAGUAAAUGAUAACAUUUUCAGGUUGAGGAUCCUGAUAUGUAUUAACCACA